GGAGGGGGGCUAGCGUUGCUCGGAAUUACUGGGCGUAAAGGGCGUGUAGGCGGGACAUCAAGUUAGGCGUGAAAGCCCCCGGGGCUCAACCCGGGAAAUGCGCUUGAUACUGAUGACCUAGAGUCCGGGAGAGGGUGGUGGAAUUCCCAGUGUAGAGGUGAAAUCCGUAGAUAUUGGGAAGAACACCAGUGGCGAAGGCGGCCACCUGGACCGGUACUGACGCUGAGGCGCGAAAGCGUGGGGAGCAAACAGGAUUAGAUACCCUGGUAGUCCACGCCGUAAACGAUGUGUGCUAGACGUCGGGCAGCUUGCUGUUCGGUGUCGCAGCUAACGCACUAAGCACACCGCCUGGGGAGUACGGCCGCAAGGCUA
rnacentral:rRNA from 1 species